UACGUAGGGGGCGAGCGUUGUCCGGAUUUAUUGGGCGUAAAGAGCUCGUAGGCGGCUUAGCAAGUCGGGUGUGAAAACUCCAGGCUCAACCUGGAGACGCCACUCGAGACUGCUAUGGCUAGAGUCCGGUAGGGGACCACGGAAUUCCUGGUGUAGCGGUGAAAUGCGCAGAUAUCUGGAGGAACACCGGUGGCGAAGGCGGCAUCCUGGACCAUUACUGACACUGAAAAGCGAAAGCCAGGGGAGCAAACGGG
rnacentral:rRNA from 1 species